GUUUGAUCCUGGCUCAGGACGAACGCUGGCGGCGUGCCUAAUACAUGCAAGUCGAACGCUUCUUUUUCCACCGGAGCUUGCUCCACCGGAAAAAGAGGAGUGGCGAACGGGUGAGUAACACGUGGGUAACCUGCCCAUCAGAAGGGGAUAACACUUGGAAACAGGUGCUAAUACCGUAUAACAAUCGAAACCGCAUGGUUUUGAUUUGAAAGGCGCUUUCGGGUGUCGCUGAUGGAUGGACCCGCGGUGCAUUAGCUAGUUGGUGAGGUAACGGCUCACCAAGGCGACGAUGCAUAGCCGACCUGAGAGGGUGAUCGGCCACAUUGGGACUGAGACACGGCCCAAACUCCUACGGGAGGCAGCAGUAGGGAAUCUUCGGCAAUGGACGAAAGUCUGACCGAGCAACGCCGCGUGAGUGAAGAAGGUUUUCGGAUCGUAAAACUCUGUUGUUAGAGAAGAACAAGGAUGAGAGUAACUGUUCAUCCCUUGACGGUAUCUAACCAGAAAGCCACGGCUAACUACGUGCCAGCAGCCGCGGUAAUACGUAGGUGGCAAGCGUUGUCCGGAUUUAUUGGGCGUAAAGCGAGCGCAGGCGGUUUCUUAAGUCUGAUGUGAAAGCCCCCGGC
rnacentral:rRNA from 1 species